CGCCCCCCUCUCCGCCGGGGCCUCGCGCACCGAACUCCUCCGGGGCGUCCCCACCCCCAGGCCCCCGCGAGCUCCGAGUCCUCUUUUCCCCCCUCCCACUUCUGGCUGCACGUGGCUCUGCACGUUGGAGUCUGGGCUCGGCUGGGGACGCGUGCGCGUGCGCGCCGGGGAACCAGCCUGCAGAAGGAGGGAAGGGCUUGCCGGGGCCUUUCUGUCUUUGGUCCAGGCUGACUGUGCCACUGAGUCGGGAGCCGCUGAGCUCCAGAGGGUCUGACUUCAACUGAAGCGUAACUCAGAAAGGCGCAGCACGAUGGAGCGGGAUGCGCCCCGGAGUGGGAGGCCGAAGGCCUGGGUUUGCAUGCGGAUGUUCGCUGUUGAAGCUGUGUGACCGAAGACAGAUCAGUUAACCCCUCAGCCCUCCCAACUAUAAGACUCUAAAACAGAGACUGAGCUACUGAAUCAAAUCAGUAGAGGCUGUUAAAAUUACAGAUCAGGACCAGAAGAAGAAGAAAAUAGGCCUGAGAUCUGCAACUGUGUCCUCAUUUUACAGAUAAAGAACUGAAGUUCA